rnacentral:lncRNA from 1 species
ACUGUCAUGCAUCUGCCAUUAUAAUAAGAACACCAUUAUAAUAAAAUGCUGUGAAUUUUUUGAAUUUAGCUGCCGUGUUUCUGCACGUUGUUGCGUGAAGAACGCGUCCACAAAAUGAGUUAGUUCAGAGCCGCGCAGACACGUUGCAUUCAGGACCUAUUUGCAGAUAGCCUACAAAUCCUAAUAUUAACAUUAUGUUGUAUAAAUAAUGAAGCUUAUUCUAUAUGAAAUGAGGAGUUUAAUCCCAUUGAUUAAAAACUUUCUAUUACAUGCGUCACUCUACUGGUCAUCUUCGGCACGCGCAGCUCAAAACAGAAAUGCAGAACAUUUAUAACUACUGUCAUACAGGCUAACAUUAUAAUGAGAGCACUGUUGUAAAAAAAAAAAAAAAUUAAUUGUUAGGGUUUCGCUGACGUUUAAGUGUUAAGUAUCUUUUAAUUAAAACAUAAAACAUUAUUUACCCCGUUGGUAUCUGUGUGGCAUUCGUUACACAUUUUCCAUAUGUGUUAACAUCAGUAAUUAUGGCUGUCGAAUGUCUAACUUGACUGCAUUUGUAUAUUGAUAUGUAUAUAUUUAUUAUAUGAUUGAAGUAUAUACCGCUUAUGCAAGUAUACAACUAUAAUGAACAAUGUCAACAAUAUUGAAUUAUACUGAAGAAUUAUACAGUUUUUAGAUGUAAAAUGGUAAAAAGAUCUUUAAAUGAGAUUAGAUACAUUUUUUAAAACUGACUUCAGUAUACAUGUGUUAGAAGAUGGAUGCUUAAUGUGCUUUAGAAGUAGUAUUAAUCUAUAUGUAGACACUGAUGGUGGUGUGACAUUAAUGUUUUUUUUUAUGAUCUCUUUUUAUAUAAUUUUUUUUCCCUUGAUGGAUAUCAGUAAAUUCCCGCUACUGAUUUUUCCUAUGCCAAAGCAUGUCCGUACUCAAAAUGUGUGUACUCAGAGGAUGCAUUUUUCACUUUAAAAGGCAGAUUCUCAGUGGCCAUAUCACAGGCUUAAAUUAAAUAUCUUUAUUCUAAUCAAAAAUAAGUAAGUGAAUGUUUUCAACUAGGGAAGUACACAAUUACCAGAAGACUCAGUUGUCACCAAUGAUCAGUGUGACAUGACUUUUUACUGAAUUCAAAAUUAUACAACUGUACAGAAA